GACGAACGCUGGCGGCGUGCCUAAUACGUGCAAGUUGAGCGCUGAAGGUUGGUACUUGUACCAACUGGAUGAGCAGCGAACGGGUGAGUAACGCGUGGGGAAUCUGCCUUUGAGCGGGGGACAACAUUUGGAAACGAAUGCUAAUACCGCAUAAAAACUUUAAACACAAGUUUUAAGUUUGAAAGAUGCAAUUGCAUCACUCAAAGAUGAUCCCGCGUUGUAUUAGCUAGUUGGUGAGGUAAAGGCUCACCAAGGCGAUGAUACAUAGCCGACCUGAGAGGGUGAUCGGCCACAUUGGGACUGAGACACGGCCCAAACUCCUACGGGAGGCAGCAGUAGGGAAUCUUCGGCAAUGGACGAAAGUCUGACCGAGCAACGCCGCGUGAGUGAAGAAGGUUUUCGGAUCGUAAAACUCUGUUGGUAGGGAAGAACGUUGGUGAGAGUGGAAAGCUCAUCAAGUGACGGUAACUACCCAGAAAGGGACGGCUAACUACGUG
rnacentral:rRNA from 1 species